rnacentral:rRNA from 1 species
CAGCCGCCGCGGGAAAACGUAGGUGGCAAGCGUUGUCCGGAAUUAUUGGGCGUAAAGGGCUCGCAGGCGGUUUCUUAAGUCUGAUGUGAAAGCCCCCGGCUCAACCGGGGAGGGUCAUUGGAAACUGGGAAACUUGAGUGCAGAAGAGGAGAGUGGAAUUCCACGUGUAGCGGUGAAAUGCGUAGAGAUGUGGAGGAACACCAGUGGCGAAGGCGACUCUCUGGUCUGUAACUGACGCUGAGGAGCGGAAGUGUGGGGAGCGAACAGGAUUAGAUACCCGCGUAGUCCCUGUCUCUUAUAC